rnacentral:rRNA from 1 species
GACUAACGCUAGCGGCGUGCUUAACACAUGCAAGUCGAACGCGAAAGGGACUUCGGUCCUGAGUAAAGUGGCGCACGGGUGAGUAACGCGUAGGUAAUCUACCCCUGUGUUCGGGACAACAUCGGGAAACUGGUGCUAAUACCGGAUACGUUUCACGGAUUGCGUGAUAAGUGAAGGAAAGAUGGCGACCCUUCGGGGGCUAUUGCACGGGGAUGAGCCUGGGUACCAUUAGCUAGUUGGUGGGGUAAGGGCCUACCAAGGCAACGAUGGUUAGCGGGUCUGAGAGGAUGAUCCGCCACACUGGAACUGGAACACGGUCCAGACUCCUACGGGAGGCAGCAGUGAGGAAUUUUGCACAAUGGGGGAAACCCUGAUGCAGCGACGCCGCGUGAGUGACGAAGGUCUUCGGAUCGUAAAGCUCUGUCAGCAGGGAAGAAACGUUUGGUGGCUAAUAUCCAUUGAAUUUGACGGUACCUGCAAAGGAAGCACCGGCUAACUCUGUGCCAGCCGCCGCGGUAACAC